CCUCUUUGAGAAGUGAGGAAUGCAGCUGAAACCAAAGUCCAGAAAACAUGCCCGGCACCCAGACAAGGCCCCACGGAUCAAUAAACUCAGGUUGUGACCCGCAGGUCAGUUUGUCAAACAGGACAUCAGGGACGCAUAAAACUCAUUCCCGCUCUCCUUCCUGACACCAGAAGAGCCUGGAUUGCUUCCCAUUGUGCUGCGAGAGCUUGAAACGUGGCCAUGCUAUUUCCAGCAUCUCCUUUGCCCGCAGGGAUUGGAGGCACAUCCCGGUUUUUCCAGCAUCUGCGAGCAGCAGGCACUGCUGCGUGUGCCAGCUCGGCGAGCCUCCCCUACCUGCCCGUGCUGCCUUGUGGCCGCUGGAAGCGCUACAGAGGAAAAAAACUGCAUUUCCCAAGGAGUUCUGUCUGCGUCCCCAUUGUUCUCAGCAUCCAUCCUUCCAUUCUUGGUGGGAAAGGACAAAUUAAAGCAAGGCUCUCAAGGGUGGGGCUCGGUUUGUGCUCCUCUGAACUGUCAUGUUCGCUUUUGGCCGCUGAAGAGCUUUUCAGAAGGCUUUCAGUGACUCAGAAACCUCAAAUCUCUUGGUUUUCAGCGGGAGCUGGGCUCCUGCUGGAGCUGCAAAAAGCAAGUUCUGCUUGUGAGUGUCUGGAGGAACAUCCUGGCUUUUCCAUGGACAUUUAACAGCCCUGGGCCAGGCUCUGGGAGUUUGGGGCUGGGAUAUAACUGGGGUGACUUCUGGAGCCUGUUGGGAUGGCUUAUUCCAAAGCUUAUUCCAACCUUGCACUGAGAGCAAAAGUGACCCAGGAGAUUUUAUUGCUCUGGACAGGAGAAAAUGCUCAGCCAGAGUUUAGGUAAUGGUGUGUCCCCAGUGUCCCCAAGAGGGAAACCUCCAGGAGAUGAGAUGGACCAGACAAGGGAGCCAAGGAUGCCAAGGAGGGACCUCCAGAGCUGGUACCAGAGGCACAGUCUGACUCAAAGGGACUUUGGGGCUGUUCCUGUUGAAUUCAGUUAAGGAAAUUAAGAUUGCAAAUCCUGCUAAAGAGCUCAAACCCCCAGCAGGCAGAAGCAGAGG